rnacentral:tRNA from 1 species
GGAGAGGUGGCCGAGAGGUCGAAGGCGGUUGACUCGAAAUCAACUGUACCCUUUGGGUACCGGGGGUUCGAAUCCCCCCCUCUCCGCCA